UGAAUGAGAAUGCUGCAGCUGACAAGUUAGAUCAAGAGAAACGUAAAGCUAAGGCUAUUGAUAUAUUCAACACUCAUCAUCCACUCCUCUCUCAGUGUCUUUCUGAUCCUGUCAGUGUAGCUAUUAUGCUUCAAAGAGAGGGUGUCAUAACAGGACAAGUAUUGGCUAGUGUAGCUUCAGUUAGUCCUUCUGUUCCUAAUCAACGUGAAGUCCUGUUAGCUGCCAUUAUAGUAGCUAUUGAAAGCAAGUAUAGUUCACUACAAACAUUUGCUAGUGUGUUGUGCAAGUUCACUGGUAAUGUAAAACUAGGAACAGUUAUACAAAGAGACUAUGAUACACAAUUUUCUACUGA